GCCGGGCGCGGUGGCCCACGCCUGUAAUCCCAGCACUUUGGGAGGCCGAGGUGGGCGGAUCACCUGAGGCCAGGACUUCAAGACCAGCCUGGCCAACAUGGUGAAACUCCGUCUCUA
rnacentral:SRP_RNA from 1 species